AUUCAGCAGCAACGGAACAGUAGGGAAAUACAUAUUUGUAGCCUAUACUGUGAUGAAACUAAUAUUGGGAGAUGGUCGCGAUGGCAAAAUAGCCCAACAAGUCAGUCAAGUGAAUAGAGGUGAUGUGGCAGCUGCAACCAGGUAGACUCAAGAGGCAUGGCAUUGUGUUCUCCAUUCUAUGAUAGAUGGAAGCUACAAUCUCACACCCCAACCUCAAUGCCCAAUGGAAUUUUACAAUAUUGUACAAUGGGAUAUAGAGGAUUGUUGGCUUCUCAUAGCCAGAUCAAACCUGGGAUUUUUUUCCCCACAGAUAAACCGAAGAUAAGAGUUUCUGCCUGCUUCACGGUCCAUUAUUACUUUUGGUACGCGCUCGGCCAGUCUCAAACUCGUACCGUGAGUAAUAAUGCACUGUGGCUGUCACUGCCAACGAGAGACGGACAGCACCACAGUUCUCCAUAAUCCUAUACAUCUCAUUGUUGUAUAGACAGUUGUGAAGCAGGAAAUGUGAUGAAAACUCAGCCCUUGUGUCAGAAUGACAGCAUUUAAAUAUAAUAAUUUAGGAUACUUUCAUAUCCAGGGAAGAAAUUGAUUAGCCAGUUUACUUAAAUAUUAUUGUUGAAUUAUUUACUAUGUUGUUGAAUGUUAGUUACACUGACAUUUGAAAAUGAACUCUAAAUGGUAAAUCUUAUUUAUACUUGCAAAAGAAAUUCCCUGUGCCUUGUGACUGUUAUAUUUAUGUUGACUGCAUAGGUCUUGUUUUAGUACAAUGAAACAGUCAUAUUAGACUUCAGCCUAUUAUUGUGUCUUAAUUUUUUUGUAGGAAAAACAUUUUUUUUCUCAAAUAUCUCAAAGACGGGCCUGUAAUUGAAUAAAGUUCAGAAACAUUAUAGCCAACUCUCCUAGUUGGACAUGUUUUGAAAUAGGCA